CGUGUCUUCGCUACUUCAAUCCAUAGAGAGAGAGAGAGGUGGAGAGAGAGAGAAACAGCGAAGGUGGUACUGUUUGAAUUUCGGUGCAUGCAAUUCUGGGUGAAAACAGAAUACCGAGUUCACUGAUGGUGGUAUUUUGUUAUCUGUAGAGGACUGAAAUCGGAGAGGAGGAAGGGAGAAUUUAUCAAGGCCAAGGAAGGUGGUUGUUUGUGAAUUUUUCAGAAUGGAAUAGCAGAGAAGAAUUGCUGUUAAUGGUGGUACAUACCUUUUUCUUCAUUGCUUUUCCUUUGUGCAUGUUUGAAUGUGAAAAGGAACUCAGGUGUGCCAAAGAUUGGAUUUUUGAGAAAGUUUUGGGAUUUUGUUAUUGAAAUUCUUAGUGGGUAUUUGGAACCUCUGUUUUCUGUCGGUUUGGGUGCAGUCAAUUUUGAGAUAAUACAGCUUUAUUGAAGCUGUACCAUGGAUUGUUCCAGGAGAUGGGAGAUGCAAUUGAAAAUCAGAGAAAGAAAGAUAAGAAGAAGCUUGAAGUAGAGAAAUCAAAGAAGAUGCUAGCUUCUGCAAUUAUUUGGGUUAAUCCUUUCUUCUCAAUCUACUGUGGAAUGAGGGGUUGAUAAGAAAUCAAGCAGUGUUGGUUCGGAGCCAAACUCAAAGAGUUUUGAGUGUGUGACCAAGGGCUUCAAAUGACCGUUCUGAUGAUGAAGGAGGGACUGACAAGAGGAAUGGUGUUGAGGCAAGGAACAAGUACCAUCCCCCGAUGUUGCUGAAGGGACAUCAAUUUAAAAAUGCUUCUUUGCUGGCAAACUUGGCUGGUGCAAGGGUUAUUACUGUUAGAUGAUCUUGAUUCGACAACCCUUGGAAAUGCAAUUGAAGAGAUGUUAGGGGAUGAGAGUAAAAUGGAAGAUAUGUUCUAGAGGGGCUCUGAGAGCUGCAAACUCCAAUACCUCUGUACAGAUUGGACAACACGUCAUUUCUCUAACCAGCUUAUAAUGAGGAAAGAAGAAGUAGACUUAAAGUUGGUUUAUACGCUAUGUAAGUCAUAGAUCCAGCUUCCAUCUUUUUGGAGCCUGAGGACUAUCGCGCGUGGGUAGAGUGAAGGUACCUCCAAGGGGAAGGACACUGCAAUCAGAGACCAAGCUUCAGUGCUUUGACCCUGUAACGAUGAAAUACUUGGGAUAUUAUCCUGCAUUGACACCUGAUGUGGUUGGUUUUUUUUUUUUUUUUUUGUGUACAUUUGGCUUGGGGUUGUGGAUUGGUGUAGUGAACAUGUAGUAAGCUGUUAUGGGGUCUUUGCUAACUUCUAAAUGGAUGGGUUCAUUUGAUAAUGAUGUUAAGGUCAAGGAGGGGGUAGCACGAGCAAGUAAGGCACAGAAAACAUGGGCAAAGAGUAGCUUCAAGCAAAGAAACCUGUUUCUUCGGAUUAUUCUCAAGUAUAUAAUAGAACACCAAGGGGUUACCAAGUAAGGCACAGAAAACAUGGGCAAAGAGUAGCUUCAAGCAAAGAAACCUGUUUCUUCGGAUUAUUCUCAAGUAUAUAAUAGAACACCAAGGGGCUACCAAGUAAGGCACAGAAAACAUGGGCAAAGAGUAGCUUCAAGCAACGAAACCUGUUUCUUCGGAUUAUUCUCAAGUAUAUAAUAGAACACCAAGACCUUAUAUGUGAGAGUUCAGUUAGAGAGAAAUCAAUUAAUAAUUGUUAUACGACUAGAAUGCAGUUAUAUUACCCGCAGCAAAGCGCGGGCUCUCUAACUAGUAUAAUAUAAUUAGGUGCCGGAUAUUCAUUGCAAAAUAUUGUCAAACAAACCUAGCUAGCGCAUGACGAGUGUCAUCUCAUUAAGCACCGCCAACACAUGCUCUGGUCCUUCAUUCAUUGGGGGUCGGGCUCUGCAGUUUCAACUUAUUAGCCGCUUGAAACCGGAAGCCGACCAUUGAAAAAUGAGAACUUAUUUUGUCUAAAUGAUGAUGAUAAUAUUUAGGCUAGCUGGCAGCAAUUCAUCAUUUAGUACUUGAUGUUUAUUGAGGUGUUUCGUAUUUUCUA